AACAAGACCCGACCCGCAUUUCCUCAAUAAAGUAACUCCUUUCAACGCCGCCUUCAUAAUAAACGAACUCCUCCGCAAGCUUCUCCAACCUCCUAUCCUCUUCCCCCGCCUUCCACUCCUCCAAUCUCUUCCCGCAUUUUGCACGAAUCAUCCCCUUCCACUCAUAUACCGACACGCUUCAGAAUACUCGUUUUCUUUUGAACCGCUUUUGUUGCAUCCCCACGGGGGAGUGACCCGAACUCAUCGAGCAGACGGAGAGGUACAUGGACGGUGGAUUCAGAGAUCGUGGUGAUUGACUUGUCGCACCCACCCCGCCUGCCCUGUGAAGGUUCUUCAGUAAUCGACCACCAGAAAUACGCCCUUAGAAACUCCACAAAACGGAUCGGUUUCGGUAUCUCUUUUUCAUGUCUUUGAAGCUAAAACCCAUUUUUUUGGUCAUGUAUUAAUCAGAAUUUAAUUUCAAUAGUUUUAAAUUAUUUGAAAUACUGUGUGAAUCGAGAUGGAAAUGAUGGCAAUAUAAAGUAAAAGGUCUGAGCAGAGUGAGACAACGGUGGUAGUAAUGGAUGCCAAAGUCUGGGGGUGAGAAAAAAGGAGAGGGCCUCUGUCCUUGCUCUGAGAUAUUGCAUUGCGACAGCGCAACCUCUCCUACAACAAAUUUACUGCUCUCAAAGCAUGAGUGCUGCGAUGGGUUGAAAGAAAAGGCGUGGGCUGCAUUCUAGCAUUGAAUGCUAACCUAGACUUCUCCCGACAUUUUAAUAUUUGCAUCCCCUUACUUUGCCUAUCCGUUGGCUGCCACCGCGCUUCCUGCAUUGAUCAAAACCUUGAUGCUGAUCCAUACAUUAUCAUUCUCUGUUAAUUAUCUCUUUUCAAUUGUUUUUUUUUCCUGUUAAUUCUUUUAUGCUUUGCAUGUAUGAGCACUCGAUUUAUUAAAAAAAUAAUCCAAAUGGACGAGUGUUCUUUUUGGUGGUGGUUGUUGAGUGGUUUCAGGUGUUCCACUCAUGCUUUCAGUCAUGAUGUGUGUGCAAUUUAAAAAAUAACUGAAUGUUGUGGAAACUGCAGCUUCAGGAGAAAUCAACAUGCAGGGGUAGAAAAGAAUGCUUGGAGAGAGAAAUGUUUUGCAGGCACAAGAGAUUGGCGAAAAAUGGCCCUUUUUUUGUGGUGCAUUGUUGAGCAAUUCACUUGGAUAUAAUUAAAAGUAUGGAAAAAUGGUGAAUUUUGAUGGAUGUGGGUGAAUGUGGUUGGAUGCGAGGUGGGGAAAAUGGGGCUGCAGUUUUUUCAGAGGAUGGUGUCUAUCCAUUAAUGACCCAUGCUACAUGACAGCUUCUUUGAAUACCACAUUAGUGUUCAUGCUUGCUGUGUUUGCUAAAUUCUUUGUCUGGGUUAUAUACUUGGUUCAUUUUGCUGUUUUAGCCCUUUAAGAUCAUUUUUUUUUCUUUUUUUCAACAAUCAUUUUUCAAUUUUUUUAUAUUGAUUUUUGGUGAUUUUGAACCCAUUCACAGUUCUGUUUUGCAUUCUUCCUUGCAUAUUAGCAAAUGCAAAUUCACCACGUUGUCUGAGAGGAAGGCCAAUACGAUGAUUUAUUUGGAAACUGAGGCUCUACUUAGUGGGGGGUUCUGGUGCAUUGUUUUGAACUUGUGACCAGAGUCACGGUGUCACAGGCCAUUGUUGGCAUUAUGUUUAUCAAAAAGCAAUUUAACUUAGCGCACGCAUAAAAUAGGACAUUUUUACAAUACUUCUAUUGAAAUUCUAAUCAAUUGAAAAUUUUCAGUAGAAUGCUUGCAACAACCUCGAUGGCAAUCAUGAUGGUCGUAUUGACUGUAAUUCAGUUGUUACAGUUACACAAUGGCUGCUUGUGCUUGGAGCUUGAUUAUAAAAUCAUGAACCUAUAACUCCAGAUAAUAGAAUCUGACCUUUCGUUUCCAUUACCUAAUGGCUGUUGUUUGAUUCCAUUGUUUUUUUAUCUGCUUUCUCAUGAGGUUGUGCUUGCUGGAUGUUUCUUCAGGGAUUGCUUUUCUUGCGGGUAGUUUCUUUGAGCACCUGGUGUAUUCUGUUAUUUUGCAGAUGUAAUUGUUUAAAAAUGGUUUUGCUGAAGUAUUUGAACCAACAACAGAGUUGUGUGAGAGUUUUUACAUCCCAAUUUUGGUUCCCCAAUCCAUGUGUAAUUUUUUGGCAAUGGAGAAGAAACAUUACUGUUGCUUCUGCAUUUGUACUAUCAUCAUCAUCAACAUCGGUUUGAUCAUGAUUGUUUGUGUUUGCUAUGUCGUGUAUCAAUCUGGCAAGCCCUUUUGCCACAAAUCCCUUGAGCCAAUGAAUACUUUGAUUUUUUGGGUUCAGGUGAGCCUAGCGAAGUUGAUUGAAUUUUUUAUGUGUAUAUGAUUAUGCUAUCAUGUUAUUGUAGGGGGGCACGCAGCAGAGAUGAUCAAUGUAUUGACUGUGCUGCAAAAGGAUAUGUUUUUGCCUAGAAUCUAUGUUGCAGCAGCCACGGAUAAUAUGAGUUUGCAAAAAGCUCGGGUUUUGGAGGACAAUAUGGUUGACAGGGUAGGCCAUUUGUGGUUUAACUUCGUACUGUGUUUGCUUUUGUAGGGUUCAAUUGUUUGAUAUAAUGAUCUAGUUGCUGGUUUGCAUUUUGGAAUUUAUGGCUGACUGAAUUGUUGGCUGUUAGUGUUUGUGAAUAGUUUUAGUUUGAAUUUUGAUAAAACAAUGUAAUUGCAAAGGUGAUAGAAAUAACUAGUCCGCACUUGAAAGUUAUGCUGGCUUAAUGAUGAAUCAUUUUGGAUCCCUGAGUGGCAUGAACUCUUAUUCAUGAACCAAAGUUGAAAAAUUGGAGUAGCUAUCCAAGGAUUACCUCACUUAUGAGUGCUGUCAGCCUACUUGCUAGAUUGAGGAUGGGAAAAAAAUGUAAACAGCUUUUCUUUGAAAUAAUUCCUGGUUUCAUGAAUAAGUUUAAUUUUGCAAUACUUCUUGUAUGUAAUUCUCCUUGAUUGCCUCUGAUCUAUCAACUUCUUAUACUUAAGCAAUGGUGAGCUUGAUUACAGAUUCAAGAAGCACAUAUACCUAGGCAUAUAAAUGUGCAAUGGAAUAUAUUGAAGUUCAAGUCAAGUUUGUUUAGAGAGGAUGCAAUGGGUGAAGUUGAACUGGUUUGAUAGCUUCCAACUAUAAUGGAUAUUGUCUGUCAUUUUUUCUUUUUUCCCAGGAUUUCUUUUUUGAUUCCCUGGAGGAUUUCUGAUUCUCACCUGAGACAAAGUUGAUUGCACAUUUUCUUUUCCUUUAAUUUUUGGCUGAUUUAUUCUGGGUUGCUCAAUUUUGAAUUGGCUAUUAUUGCAGACUGGGUGAAAGGGGGUAUGUGUGCAGUUCUUGAAAGUCUACAGUAUUUCUUGCAUAAAAAUUAUUAUAGGUAAUGCUGAAUUAUUUUGGAUCCAUUAGUGGUGUGAACUUCUAUUGUUCGUGAGCCAAAGUUGAAAUAUUGAACUGAGUCUCUCAUGAGUUGUGUUGCAAGGUUACCUAUUAGAUUGAGAAAAUAUUGUUUUUCUUUUAAAUCCAAUCCUUGUUUCCAUGAAUAAGUUGAUUUUUCACAUCAGUAGUUGUUUUUGAUUCUUAACUCCAGCUUCCUGCUUAACUCCUGUAGAGGAUAUGAUUUGUUAUUUUUUUCUAUAGCUAGUUUGUGGUUCUGAUUCUCUAGCUAGUUUGUUAUUUUUUUCUAUAGCUAGGAAGAUCAUAGUAUUCUCAUUUGUGCUCUAAAUCUUGUCUGGUUUAUUUUAGAUUGUACAAUAUUGUAGUGGUUUUUAUUGCAGGCAUGGGGCAAGGGGGUCUCUGUGCAAUUCAUGCAAAUCUACAGAAGAAGCAGGGAAGUUGGUCAGUCAUACCUGACCUCUGUUGGGACAACUUUAUUAGCUAUGUCUCAUGCAUUAUGGCUAAUGAUUAGAAUUAGAUCUCAAGUGGUAUAAUUACUAUUAUGAAUUUUAUAUUUCUCUCCUAGCCAUCACUGUUACUUGAGAAAGUGUAAAUUAAUUUAUAUUGACUGUGUUUGUCUAAAAUGUCUUGGGUUCUUUGCAAUGGCCCUGGGACUUGUGUUCCUCUGUGUAUAAUUGCAUUCCUGUUCAAGGUAAGAUGUCUUUCCUCUCAGCGCUUAGUCUCUGCAUUUUGUAUCUCUGAGAUAAUAUUGGAGUUAAUCACAUAACCUUGUCAACUUUACCUGCAGGUGAAGGGAUUAUUGGUUAUCUGUUUUUUAUGCCGAGAAUAGCAAGGUUGAAAAAGCUCUCUUUAAGUGGUUUGCUUCUUUUCAAGUUGUAUAUGGCUGACUAGUUCUUUGUGCAAUGGCGCCACAACUACAGAGAAAACAUCCUCGAGCUCACUAUGCUGGCCGUCUCGUGUGGUUGAUUUAUUCUACUACUGGCAUGGCAACAAAGAAAGGGGGGCAAUGCUGUUUAUAAUUGCGAUGUAAUUUCAAAGGAGCUGGCACGCAAUAAAAAUCAUGCUGUGCAGUAACAGUAGUCUUCUCUUCAUGCCAAACUGUACCUCAUGAAAGUCUUCUUUCUUUUAUGAGUUUUGAUUGAAGCUUUUAAAAGUCUUCCUCCUUGCACUCAAGCUCUCAGUGUUUGGUUUCUUGCCAAACCUACUUGUGGCUUCAAAAUCAUUAUGCGAGAUGAUUUUUGUUUUUAGAUAGUUUGGGGAAUGGAAGCUGAACUUCCUGUUUGCUCUCACGAAAAGGAUAUGACAGUCAUCGUUGUGUUUUAGGCACUAGAAACUUGGGGUUGGUCGGGUUCCCUAUCUUGGCUGGAAAAACAUACAGGUUGCUUAUUCAUAGGAUCGGUUCCAAUAUUAGCGUGUAAAAACAAGAAAAGCUGUCUUCUCUGAUUGCCCCCCCUGUUGUGGUGUUUUGUUGGAGUUGAGUAGUUUUUAUACGUUCAGUUGA